GAUGAACGCUAGCUACAGGCUUAACACAUGCAAGUCGAGGGGUAACGAGAGGAAAGCUUGCUUUCCUUGUCGACGACCGGCGCACGGGUGAGUAACGCGUAUCCAACCUGCCCCCAACUAGGGAAUAACCUUGCGAAAGUAAGACUAAUACCCUAUAAUUUCCUCAGAUGUCAUCUGACGAGGAAUAAAGAUUUAUCGGUUGCGGAUGGGGAUGCGUCUGAGUAGCUUGUUGGCGGGGUAACGGCCAACCAAGGCAACGAUCAGUAGGGGUUCUGAGAGGAAGGUCCCCCACAUUGGAACUGAGACACGGUCCAAACUCCUACGGGAGGCAGCAGUGAGGAAUAUUGGUCAAUGGGCGGAAGCCUGAACCAGCCAAGUAGCGUGCAGGAUGACGGCCCUAUGGGUUGUAAACUGCUUUUAUACAGGAAUAAAGUUAGCCACGUGUGGUUAUUUGUAGGUACUGUAUGAAUAAGGACCGGCUAAUUCCGUGCCAGCAGCCGCAGUAA
rnacentral:rRNA from 1 species